UACGGAGGGUGCAAGCGUUAAUCGGAAUUACUGGGCGUAAAGCGUGCGUAGGCGGUUCGUUAAGUCUGAUUGUGGAAAGCCCCGGGCUCAAACCCUGGGAAUGGCAAUGGAUACUGGCGAGCUAGAGUGUGGUCAGAGGAUGGUGGAAUUCCCGGUGUAGCGGGUGAAAUGCGUAGAGAUCGGGAGGAACAUCAGUGGCGGAAGGCGGCCAUCUGGGACAACAACUGACGCUGACGGCACGAAAGCGUGGGGAGCAAACAGGA
rnacentral:rRNA from 1 species